GAGCUUACCAUGCAGUCUCUUGAUCCUUCGGGUGAAGGUGGCGGACGGGUGAGUAACGCGUAAAGAACUUGCCUUACAGACUGGGACAACAUUUGGAAACGAAUGCUAAUACCGGAUAUUAUGACUGAGUCGCAUGAUUUGGUUAUGAAAGCUAUAUGCGCUGUGAGAGAGCUUUGCGUCCCAUUAGUUAGUUGGUGAGGUAACGGCUCACCAAGACGAUGAUGGGUAGCCGGCCUGAGAGGGUGAACGGCCACAAGGGGACUGAGACACGGCCCUUACUCCUACGGGAGGCAGCAGUGGGGAAUAUUGGACAAUGGACCAAAAGUCUGAUCCAGCAAUUCUGUGUGCACGAUGAAGUUUUUCGGAAUGUAAAGUGCUUUCAGUUGGGAAGAAGUCAGUGACGGUACCAACAGAAGAAGCGACGGCUAAAUACGUGCCAGCAGCCGCGGUAAUACGUAUGUCGCAAGCGUUAUCCGGAUUUAUUGGGCGUAAAGCGCGUCUAGGCGGUUUAGUAAGUCUGAUGUGAAAAUGCGGGGCUCAACCCCCGUAUUGCGUUGGAAACUGUUAAACUAGAGUACUGGAGAGGUAGGCGGAACUACAAGUGUAGAGGUGAAAUUCGUAGAUAUUUGUAGGAAUGCCGAUGGGGAAGCCAGCCUACUGGACAGAUACUGACGCUAAAGCGCGAAAGCGUGGGUAGCAAACAGGAUUAGAUACCCUGGUAGUCCACGCCGUAAACGAUGAUUACUAGGUGUUGGGGGUCGAACCUCAGCGCCCAAGCUAACGCGAUAAGUAAUCCGCCUGGGGAGUACGUACGCAAGUAUGAAACUCAAAAGGAAUUGACGGGGGACCCGCACAAGCGGUGGAGCAUGUGGUUUUAAUUCGACGCAACGCGAGGAACCUUACCAGCGUUUGACAUCCCAAGAAGUUAACAGAGAUGUUUUCGUGCCUCUUCGGAGGAACUUGGUGACAGGUGGUGCAUGGCUGUCGUCAGCUCGUGUCGUGAGAUGUUGGGUUAAGUCCCGCAACGAGCGCAACCCCUUUCGUAUGUUACCAUCAUUAAGUUGGGGACUCAUGCGAGACUGCCUGCGAUGAGCAGGAGGAAGGUGGGGAUGACGUCAAGUCAUCAUGCCCCUUAUACGCUGGGCUACACACGUGCUACAAUGGGUAGUACAGAGAGCUGCAAACCUGCGAGGGUAAGCUAAUCUCAUAAAACUAUUCUUAGUUCGGAUUGUACUCUGCAACUCGAGUACAUGAAGUUGGAAUCGCUAGUAAUCGCAAAUCAGCUAUGUUGCGGUGAAUACGUUCUCGGGUCUUGUACACACCGCCCGUCACACCACGAGAGUUGGUUGCACCUGAAGUAACAGGCCUAACCCGUAAGGAGGGAUNUCCGAGGGUGUGG
rnacentral:rRNA from 1 species